UACGAAGGGAGCUAGCGUUGUUCGGAAUCACUGGGCGUAAAGCGCACGUAGGCGGAUUUGUUAGUCAGGGGUGAAAUCCCGGGGCUCAACCUCGGAACUGCCUUUGAUACUGCAAAUCUCGAGUCCGGAAGAGGUGGGUGGAAUUCCUAGUGUAGAGGUGGAAUUCGUAGAUAUUAGGAAGAACACCAGUGGCGAAGGCGGCUUACUGGUCCGGAACUGACGCUGAGGUGCGAAAGCGUGGGGAGCAAACAGG
rnacentral:rRNA from 1 species